rnacentral:tRNA from 1 species
UAGCUCAGUUGGUAGAGCAAGCGGCUGUUAACCGCUUUGUCCAAGGUUCGAGUCCUUG